UACAGAGGUGGCAAGCGUUGUUCGGAAUUACUGGGCGUAAAGGGCGCGUAGGCGGUGCUCUAAGUCGGAUGUGAAAACUCUGGGCUCAACCCAGAGCCUGCAUCCGAAACUGGAGUGCUAGAGUUCUGGAGGGGGUAGCGGAAUUCCUGGUGUAGCGGUGAAAUGCGUAGAUAUCAGGAGGAACACCGGUGGCGAAGGCGGCGACCUGGGUGGAUACUGACGCUGAGGUGCGAAAGCGUGGGGAGCAAACAGG
rnacentral:rRNA from 1 species